AAAAAAGAUGUAUAAAAUUUGAAAUUACUUGAGUUUAUCUUUUUGGUAGUUUCUGCCUUCAUUCGCGCUUAAAGAGAUCACAAUGCAACUCCUCGGCUGUCAUUUGUUUCUCCAUAUAUAUCUAUUCACGACAAUGUGCCUACUUUUAACUACCGCAAGACUUGCCUGCGCUUCUGCCGGGUAUUGUGUGAAAAAGGAUGGAUUUUGUAGCGGUACGAAGUUUCAUUCAGCCGACUGCAGAGGCACGCAAUUGGUCUGUUGCCAACGAAAAUCGAAUAGUUCUGUGCCGGAAUAAAUAUCUAAACUUAUUUAAAGCCCAUCAAUGCGUUAGCUUAAAAGUAACCAGCAAUCAUCUAAUAUAAAACAUUAAUGUAGCAUUGUUUAUGUCAUUGGUUAAGCUAUAUUAUAGCUGAUGCUUAUCAAUUUGCAUAGUUAAAAGCAAAUAUGCAUUAUUUUAAUCCAAGUUCGUCAUUUAUUUCUUUACGAUGAUGUUCCAAGUUUCCAGUGUGAGCAGUAAAAUUCAUAUCAAUUGCUCAAAAUGAUUUACAUUUAAGUUUUCUUAAAUGUAAAUUAACUUUAGAUUUCUAUAUUGGAUAUGAGCUUAGAAAACCCGAGUGUCCAUUCG